rnacentral:rRNA from 1 species
CAGCCGUAAACGAUGCUCGCUAGGUGUCAGGCAUGGCGCGACCGUGUCUGGUGCCGCAGGGAAGCCGUGAAGCGAGCCACCUGGGAAGUACGGCCGCAAGGCUGAAACUUAAAGGAAUUGGCGGGGGAGCACAACAACGGGUGGAGCCUGCGGUUUAAUUGGACUCAACGCCGGACAACUCACCGGGGACGACAGCAAUAUGUAGGCCAGGCUGAAGACCUUGCCUGAAUCGCUG